CCUACGGGCGGCAGCAGUAGGGAAUAUUGCUCAAUGGGGGAAACCCUGAAGCAGCAACGCCGCGUAGAGGAUGAAGGUUUUCGGAUUGUAAACUCCUUUUGUUAGAGAAGAUAAUGACGGUAUCUAACGAAUAAGCACCGGCUAACUCCGUGCCAGCAGCCGCGGUAAUACGGAUGGUGCAAGCGUUACUCGGAAUCACUGGGCGGAAAGAGCGCGUAGGCGGGAUAGCAAGUCAGAUGUGAAAUCCUAUGGCUUAACCAUAGAACUGCAUGUGAAACUGUUAUUCUAGAGUAUGGGAGAGGUAGGUGGAAUUCUUGGUGUAGGGGUAAAAUCCGUAGAGAUCAAGAGGAAUACUCAUUGCGAAGGCGACCUGCUAGAACAUAACUGACGCUGAUGCGCGAAAGCGUGGGGAGCAAACAGGAUUAGAUACCCCUGUAGUC
rnacentral:rRNA from 1 species